UACAGAGGGUGCAAGCGUUAAUCGGAAUUACUGGGCGUAAAGCGUGCGUAGACGGUUAUUUAAGUCAGGUGUGAAAGCCCCGGGCUCAACCUGGGAAUUGCAUUUGAGACUGAAUAGCUAGGGUGCGGAAGAGGGAAGCGGAAUUUCCGGUGUAGCGGUGAAAUGCGUAGAUAUCAGGAGGAACACCGGUGGCGAAGGCGGGUCUCUGGGCCGAUACUGACGCUGAGGAGCGAAAGCGUGGGGAGCGAACAGG
rnacentral:rRNA from 1 species